rnacentral:tRNA from 1 species
GAUUUGUAUGGAUAAAGGAAAGUCUUCAGAUAUUGGCUUUUAACCAAUUGGUCGAAGGUUCGAAUCCUUCACGACCCACCA